rnacentral:rRNA from 1 species
GCAUAUCAAUAAGCGGAAGGAAAAGAAACUAACAAGGAUUCCCCUAGUAACUGCGAGUGAAGCGGGAAAAAGCUCAAAUUUGUAAUCUGGCGGCCUGUGUGGUCGUCCGAGUUGUAAUUUAGAGAAGCGUCGCCCGCGCCGGACCGUGUACAAGUCUCCUGGAAUGGAGCGUCAUAGAGGGUGAGAAUCCCGUCCAUGACACGGACUACCGGGGCUUUGUGGUGCGCUCUCGACGAGUCGAGUUGUUUGGGAAUGCAGCUCAAAAUGGGUGGUAAAUUCCAUCUAAAGCUAAAUAUUGGCGAGAGACCGAUAGCGAACAAGUACCGUGAGGGAAAGAUGAAAAGAACUUUGGAAAGAGAGUUAAACAGUACGUGAAAUUGUCAAAAGGGAAACGAUUGAUGUCAGUCGCGUCCUUCAGGGAUCAACCUGGCCUUCACGGGCCUGGCGUACUUCCUGUCGGACGGGUCAGCAUCAGUUUUGACCGGUGUUGAAAGGCUUAGGGAAUGUGGCACCUUCGGGUGUGUUAUAGCCCUUGGUCGCAUGCAUCGGUUGGGACUGAGGAACUCAGCGCGCCCGCAAGGGCCGGGUCUUCGGACCACGUCCGCGCUUAGGAUUGCUGGCAUAAUGGCCUUAAUCGACCCGUCUUGAAACACGGACCAAGGAGUCUAACAUGCCCGCGAGUGUUUGGGUGGCAAACCCGGACGCGCAAUGAAAGUGAAAGUUGAGACACCUGUCGUGGGUGGCAUCGACGCCCGGCCCUGACGUUCUCUGACGGUGCUGCGGUAUAGCGUGUAUGUUGGGACCCGAAAGAUGGUGAACUAUGCCUGAAUAGGGUGAAGCCAAGAGGAAACUCUGGUGGAGGCUCGUAGCGAUUUCUGACGUGCAAAUCGAUUCGUCGAAUUUGGGUAAUAGGGGCGAAAGACUAAUCGACCAUCUAGUAGCUGGUCUGCG